UGCUCAGGAUGAACGCUGGCGGCGUGCUUAACACAUGCAAGUCGAACGAGCCUUCGGGCUAGUGGCGGACGGGUGAGUAACGCGUGAGAAUCUGCCCUCAGGAGGGGGAUAACGGCUGGAAACGGCCGCUAAUACCCCAUAUGCCGCGAGGUGAAAUGAGAAAUCGCCUGAGGAUGAGCUCGCGUCUGAUUAGCUAGUUGGUGGGGUAAUAGCCUACCAAGGCAUCGAUCAGUAGCUGGUCUGAGAGGAUGAUCAGCCACACUGGGACUGAGACACGGCCCAGACUCCUACGGGAGGCAGCAGUGGGGAAUUUUCCGCAAUGGGCGCAAGCCUGACGGAGCAACGCCGCGUGAGGGAUGAAGGCCUCUGGGCUGUAAACCUCUUUUCUCAAGGAAGAAGAACUGACGGUACUUGAGGAAUAAGCCACGGCUAAUUCCGUGCCAGCAGCCGCGGUAAUACGGGAGUGGCAAGCGUUAUCCGGAAUUAUUGGGCGUAAAGCGUCCGCAGGCGGUCUUGAAAGUCUGUUGUUAAAGCGUGGAGCUCAACUCCAUUUCAGCAAUGGAAACUAGAAGACUAGAGUGUGGUAGGGGCAGAGGGAAUUCCCGGUGUAGCGGUGAAAUGCGUAGAUAUCGGGAAGAACACCAGUGGCGAAGGCGCUCUGCUGGGCCAUAACUGACGCUCAUGGACGAAAGCCAGGGGAGCGAAAGGGAUUAGAUACCCCUGUAGUCCUGGCCGUAAACGAUGAACACUAGGUGUCGGGGGAAUCGACCCCCUCGGUGUCGUAGCCAACGCGUUAAGUGUUCCGCCUGGGGAGUACGCACGCAAGUGUGAAACUCAAAGGAAUUGACGGGGGCCCGCACAAGCGGUGGAGUAUGUGGUUUAAUUCGAUGCAACGCGAAGAACCUUACCAGGGUUUGACAUCCUGCGAAUCUUUUGGAAACAGAAGAGUGCCUUCGGGAGCGCAGAGACAGGUGGUGCAUGGCUGUCGUCAGCUCGUGUCGUGAGAUGUUGGGUUAAGUCCCGCAACGAGCGCAACCCACGUCUUUAGUUGCCAGCAUUGAGUUGGGCACUCUAGAGAGACCGCCGGUGAUAAACCGGAGGAAGGUGUGGAUGACGUCAAGUCAUCAUGCCCCUUACAUCCUGGGCUACACACGUACUACAAUGCUACGGACAGAGGGCAGCAAACUCGCGAGAGCUAGCAAAUCCCAUAAACCGUGGCUCAGUUCAGAUCGUAGGCUGCAACUCGCCUACGUGAAGGAGGAAUCGCUAGUAAUCGCAGGUCAGCAUACUGCGGUGAAUACGUUCCCGGGCCUUGUACACACCGCCCGUCACACCAUGGAAGUUGGCCAUGCCCGAAGU
rnacentral:rRNA from 1 species